rnacentral:lncRNA from 1 species
UUAGGUGCAAUUCACAUCCAGCACCUACCAAGACCCUUCUCUGACCACUCCAGGGCACAAUACUUUCAAGAUACUCUAAAAACCUAUGACAUGUGCAAUUUUUUUAUGUACAUAAAAAAUUGAUUAUAUGCUAUAUAGUAUCCCUAUUGAUUUCUUUUUUUGGGGUCUGUGAACGUUUCAUAUCUAAGAACAGACACAAACUUUCUGAGGGCUUGGUACCAAUUACCACAAUUAUUUAGCACAAAAUUGCCAUUUUGUUAAAAUUCAGCUGAUUUAAUGAAUAGUCACAUAGUCGUGUAGUCAUUCAAAUGGUAUCUCCAAAGGAUGUUGAAAGAAACAACCAGAGUUUAUAAAACCUUAUUUUCUACAGAACCCAAACUGAAUGAUGUAGAUGACUUAGACAUUACUAUAUCAGAAGGCUCAGGGCUAGACCAGGUAAGUCCUUGAAAUUAUCUUCCAAAGGGCUGCCAAGGUGAUUAUCUGUAACAUCUAAAGAUAUAAGAAUAUCGAGACCAGUCAGGGUUGACCUCUCUUUUUGAAAAUAGAUGAGGUUUUCCUUUAGGGUAGGGCGCUUUAGAGUAGACCAAAUAAGUAAAGGCAACCGCAGUUUUAAAAAAAUUUCAAGGGGUGCCUGGGUGGCUCAGUUGGCUAAGUGUCUGACUCUUGAUAUUGGCUUAGGUCAUGAUCUCAUGGUUCGUGGGAUUGAGCCCUGCGUUGGGAUCUUUGCUGACAGCAUGGAGCCUGCUUGGGAUUCUUCCUCUCCCUCUGCCCGUCCCCCCACUUGCUCGCACACACGUGUUCUAUCUUUCUCUCUCAAAAUAAAAAGCACACACAAAAAAAAAGAAAUUUCAAGAACAUAAAGAACAGGUUCCUCCAGUAAAAAUGUACCGAACGCAUGUGUGUUUAUGCCAUGGACACAAAGACAAAUCAGGUAUGUACUUGGUCUUUAGGAAACUAUGAUUCAGUAGGAGAGGUUAGAUAUGUGUGCAAAUCAACAUAUGAAAGAAAUCAAGAAGAGAGUCCUAGGAAUUACUAUGAAGUUUAGCAGAAGAAAAACUGCAUAUUGUUUGGGGGAAAUCAUAAAGAAGAUUCCUGGAGAGGACAGUAUUUUUUAACUGGACUAUGAAGAACAGAUUAAAUGGAGGAAAUGGAGGAAAGAGAAGAUAAUUAAUCGUACACAGUACAGUAAAUGACUAAGCUAAUUUUACAAAUCCUAACAUUUGACACUACAGCCCAAGGUACAGAGCCAAGUUUUGCUGUUACUCACAGUACUAGCUAGAUCAUAUAUAAACAGAUGAUUUCUUUUGAUAGUUUCUUCAUCUCCUAAUUAAAGUAAAAAAUAUUAACUUCAUAGAAAUUAAUGUCACAUAUCCAUUAAAAUCCAUAGUAAUAAAUGGAAUAUUUCACUUAACAAAAGAAAAUGAAAAAUGGAAGUAAAUAUUUUUAGAAUACAAAUAAAUACAUUGUAUACUUUUUCCUCUCCUUCAGGUGAUGACAAUAGUGCUUUUUCCUCUUGCUCUGGUGUAGGCUCAGCAUCUCCAGAGAUGAGCUUUCCAAAUACCUGAUAAAGACAGGAAUGUGAGAAGGAAUCAAUGGCAGUAAUUACUAGUGUGAAACCUAAAGGAUGCAUGAGCUAAUACUGCAGGUUUUAUAAUAUUACUAUGCUGUUCUUGCUAUACGCUACUACUUUUAAGAAUUAAUGAAUGCAAAAUGAAACAUAGGAGUUUAGGGCUAGGAGAAGAAGAGAAAAUGGGUCAUAUGUUUGCCAGCCAUCUCUAACAAGCUUUACAAAGUAUUCUGUUACCCUUUGGUAUCAGCAUUGCAGAAGAUAUGAUUUCAGUGUAUCGUGUGCCAGAACCUGGAGUGAGGACACUCACUUGAGACGUAAUAAGUCUGAACACUCGCAGAGUCUCGGCUUCACAGUUCCUUUGCUGGGCCACACUGGCUGAAAUCUGGCCAGCAAUUUUUGUGCUUUCACCAUCCUUCCAGCCCAGGACUUUUACUUGUCGAACUCUCAGUGUAUUUUCUGGGCCCUUUAAUUCAAUCUUGAUGAUGUGAUUAUCCCCUCCUGGAAGUUCACUUGUUACCCAACCAAUGUGCCUAGAAUCCAGAUCAACCUAGCAAACAGAAAAGGGAUAGAAACCUGAUACAGCCAUAUCACUCUCUUAUCAAGGUCCUAGACUUAGCGCUAAUAACUGCAAGCUCAAAUAACAAAGACUUGUACGGAGACUAAGGUUUACUGUGUUAUUUCACACUGACUAUCUUACUUAAGCCUGGUGAGGAUAAGUAAUACUACAGUAGCUAUUAUACAGAUGAAGUGAGGUUAACCCAGGUUGAAGGAUUCUCAGUCAGACAUGGAGCUGAGAAUUAAAAUACAGGUCUGAUUACUUUCCAUGCACAAGUUAUGUUAAGUAAAAUCAUUAAAACAAUUCAUGUGACUGUCCUUUCCCUAACCUGACUGAGGAGAAAUACAAGAUCAGCACGAGGUCCUGUUUUGUGCAUCUUCACAUUUAACCACCAUUUAAAGAUAACCACGUUUUGUUGUUUUUUAAAGAUAGAUAAGCAUAUUUGAUGUGCAGUUACUUAAUAUGUUCUGCUUCUGAAGAAAAAUUAUAUAAUAUGUAACUGCAUAUUUGUGAUUCCUGAUUCCACUGAAAAUGUAACUUUUCAAGGAUUAAAUUUCAAUGCACUAUGAAAUGGUUUUUGACUCUAUUCAGUUGAUAAAAUGAAAAAAUUAAUUGAUAAUGUCAAUUUUCUAGAAAAAUCAUUAAGCAUAAAUACUAUCUCACUGAACAGAAGUAUUUCUCCAAAUUCUUUUAGCCUUUUAAACAAAAUUUAUUAUUUGUUUAAUCCAAAAUUUCAAUUUAUUCUUUCAAUAUGAUUUGAAAAACAAAACAAGUAGUCAACAUAUAUGGGAUAACAGCUUUGAUAAACUUUCACUAACACAAGUGAGUUUAUACAGAAUGCCCAAAUACAACCUAACUUGUUUCUAAAGUUCAUUUGUAAAUUGACUUGCAGCCUGGAUUUAGUUGCACUGUUGUGACAGAUUUUCAGGCUAGAGGACAACAAUCUACAUUUUAACCUGAAGUGUAGGUGUUAAUUGUGAAUGGGAUUUGUGAUGCAUUUUAAGGUGCCCUGAAUCUUUCUUUGUAAGGGAGCAGGAGGCAGAGUAGAGGACUGUAGGUAUAGUACAAUCGAUUGUGACAGGAGAGCAUUUAGGACACUAUCGGCUAUUAGCACAGGGAUGGUUGUAAAUGUUCCUAUAUCUGGACUAUUUGUCAGUUUAAUGUUUUGUAAACAGAUGAGUUCCUAGAAUACUUUGGUAGCAUGCCGAAAUUAGAAUUUAACAGAGGAGGCUGAGAAGAAUUUCUCCCUAGGUAACAUUUAAUGACAAAAUUUUAAUUACCUGUUUUAUUCUGCACAAAUCUUCUACUGCUUUGCCAGUUAAGAAGGUCAUUGAGGUAACUUUAUUCUAAAACAGACAAUGCACAACAAUUAUUCUUCCAUAUUGCUGCUACUGAAUUUAUAAUGAUUUCUUACAGCCUACUGAUAUCACAUCAACUCUUCUGUAUGUCUGUCAUGGAUUCUUCCUAACUGAUCUCACUCCAUCUGCCCAACCAACCACAUUCUUUUUUUUUUUUUUUUAAUUUUUUAAUGUUUAUUUGUUUUUUUUGAGAGAGAGACAGAGUAUGAGUGGGGGAGGGGCAAAGAGAGAGAGGGAGACACAGAAUCUGAAGCAGCCCUCCAGGCUCUGAGCUGUCAGCACACAGCCCAACGUGGGGCUCGAACCCACAAGCUGUGAGAUCAUGACCUGAGCCGAAGUCAGAUGCUUAACUGACUGGGCCACCCAGGUGCUCCCCUUGCCCCUCAAGCAACCACAUUCUUACAACUCCAGUCUUGUCUCGUUCUCACAAAUUCUACCUUCAGUCUCCAUGGGCUCUGAAAGAAAAGCCUGGCAUUCCUUCUUUCUAUCCAAAGUCUAAAGAUUUAAAUUCUAUCUCUAUCAUGAGACUUUCCAACAACUCUGCUUUCACUCUUGUCUCCACUCCCUAACAAACACUCUUGACUAUCACAAUGUACCAAGACUGUCUUACAGCCUUGGAGAAGGACAUAUGAGAAUGAUGGGUUCUGUCCUCUUGACACACUAGGGAAGGAGCAUUAGCAAACAAAAUAAAUGUCAAACAGAAGUUCAGUGUCAUUAGGUACCAAAAAGAUCAUGCUAGUUCUAGAGCCAGAGACCUUAAGGUUGAAUAAGCUUUAUGCAAAGCACAUCAGGAAACAGAUUAACACAUUAAUUCCUUGGAGCAUUGCAUACUUUAAGCGCUCUAGGUCGAUGCAAUUCAAACAACUGCCAUGUAUAAGGCACUGGUGGUAGACAGGCUGGGGACACACAGGUACAUAAGCCUCAAGGAUACACAGAACUUAGAGGAGGUUUCUUAAAAGGAAAGCACAUGUCAGCUUAUCUACUGGGGAUUUUAAAAUGAAUAUUGCUAUGAUUAUCUCCUUAAAAGGGAAAAAUGUCAAACUGAUUGGAAUCAUUGUUCUGAGGGAGAGUAUGUCCUGGCUUAAAAUAUACCAUGAGUCAAAGAUAACUUUGUACUGAACAGUAAGUUCUAGCUAGAAAAAUGUUUUGAUUUAUUACACCUGACUUUCUAGUAAGAUAAAGUAGUUGUACAAAUUGAAACUCUUGGCUCUGAAAAGGAGGUACGCUUAUAUUAGCUACGCCCCUUCUUCUUAUUCACCGCCACGGAAGCACUGCAGCUGCACUUAUGGACAGGAGUUGGGGGUGGCUGCAGAUGGCGAGGAGUGUUCUGACUGCAGACUGGGCUUUUCAGGUUGGCAUUCUAUUGAGGUUACCCAAGACCCAACCCCAUCACUCUGUCUUCCUGGGAAAGGAAAUGUGUGAAUGGGAUAGGAGCAGCUUGGCAACAGAGGGGAUUUAUAAUACUGUAUCUAUUAGCAAGCCACAUCCAUUCUUUUUUCUUUUUUAAGUUUUUACUUAAAAAUUUUUUUUGAUGUUUAUUUUUGAGAGAGAGAGAGAGAGAGACAGAAAGUGAAUGGGGGAGGGGCAGAGAGAGGGAGACACAGAAUCUGAAGCAGGCUCUGAAGCAAGCCACAUCCAUUUUGAGGGAAAAAACUCUAAGGAGUAUCCUUCCCCAGGAAUGGGGGGAGAAGCACGCGAGUUUGGCAGCUGGUGUCUUCUUGGUUCUUAACACUCAAGUAAACAGGACUCUUUUCCCAUUAUUUAGUGCCUUUUGUAAAGGAGUGCUUAAUUCAGUUGAAACAUGUGAACAGGCUAGUGCUAGGGAGAAUACAAAUUAUGAUCAUUUAGGUUAGUUUGGAAACCCCACCACCAUCGUCAAGACAGCUAAGGGUGAAGGCUAGAAAUUGGAAGCUAAUUACAUGAUAAGUCAAAGUGUAUUCAGUGCCAUCAGAGUAAUAGAAAGAAGAACGUAGAGAAGGGAAAGAAUAAUUUUUAUAGAAGAGGUACCGGGAGAGGAUUUCUCUGCUGGUCUUUUGAGAUUUUGGGAGAAUCUGAUAGGCAGAGUUUAAGGGGAGGACUUCCAGGCCAAGAGAAUAGCUUAAACAAGGGUAUGGAGGUAGGCAAUUACAGAGGAGACAUUUAUUCUGCUUAGCUGUAGCCAGGAUGUAUUUGUAAUCACGCUUCUUUUUAGAACUGGUAUUCCAUAGUGCCCCUAGUCCUAUUAAUCUGUUUUUAGACGUAAGAUUUACUUGGGAAGUAUAAAAAUGCUGUUUGGUCAGUGAAAUUCCACAUGAAAAUCUUUUUGCUAAACUUAGAAGGAUAGGGCAUGGUAACUGAAGGUCUGAAAAGAACUAAUGAGCCACAAAUUAAGUUUUCUUUCUUACCCCUAGAUCUCGGGAAUUAUCCACAUGGACAGAUACAUAGCGGGCAUUGAUUCCUUUUACACAGUUGAUGGUGAUGUUCUUAGUUUUGUUUUUAUCCUCAUCUCCUGAUUCCCAAAAGGUUUCUGUAGAACCAUCUGUCAAACUACCAAUCAUGGCGGGUCGGCUUGAAGUUUUUAUGUCAACAAUGCUGGUUAAGUCCUUUAAGCAUAUUACUAUGCAUAAUUCCUACCAGAAACAAAUGUUUUCACAUUAUUACAUGUUUUACAUUAUUACAACACUGAAAUGGAAAUCUUUCACGAUAAUAAAACAAAAAAUGUGAGGUAAGAAAUGAAAUGAAUCAAACUGUUUAUGAGUGACUUUCAGUUUCUGCUUGUAUACAUUGUUGAAUAUUAACAGGGUAACAGAGGACAACUUUCAAUGACUGACCUGACUCAUCGCUUCAAAGCCAGACUGGAUACUGAUGCUAAAACUUUCUUCACUGUCUCCAUCAUCUGAUUUUGACAGAAUAUUGUUAAUGUGAUGAAAGACAUUACUCUGAUGGAGGAACUGGUGAUCAGAUUGCUUGAAUUUCAGACUCCAGCACCUAAAAAGGUAUAAGCAAGGUAUUAAAUAAUUCCUAAGGAAUUCCUGGGAAAGCACUCUGUAGUUAAGAUUUUUAAAAAUCUUAAUAUUCUGGGGAAAAAACAGAAAUAGAAAAAAAAUCAGGGAAUAGUAUCACCGCCUUUUUGUGAACAAUAAAGGUAAUUUCUUUGGAAUAGGGUAAGACCUAAGGAAAGUUCACUCAUUCUACAUAUAGAAAAACUGGAUACAUGAACGUCAAGGGUACAGAAGCAAAAAAGGUAAUAAAUCAAUCUUGCAGACAGACAAGUGUGACCUCAACCAAAACAAGCCUCUCAAAUUUAUUAGUCUUACAAUUCUAUACUAAUUCAUCAGAGUUAUAUAUACUCUGAUAUAUAACACAUCCUGUACUUCAAAAUCUUUUUAGGAGGAAACACAAUCUCCCCUCUACCAGUCUUUAGGGAUGUGGGUAGCCAAAAUUCACUCCAAAAAUCUACAGUUUAUAAAAACCAGUGGAGCAUUUUUUAUACGUGCGGUCCAGUGUGAAGAUCUGAUGACAAGGUUCACAAUGUAGAAGUAAUGUGAAAAUCUCAGCAGUCUCAGACUUAAAAGUAGGUAAUGUUCCUCAAGGUAGUUUUAGGCUACCUUACAUACAACAGAGGUUUCACUUUUCUUAAAAUUCUCUUCAAUUCAAAAACCCUAUUUUGAUUUCUGUUUCUGAGAUUUCAUUCUCCUUCUCCCUUUUGUGACAGUUAAGAUUGCUACUCUUGGGUAGCACUGAGACAAGUUACUUGAGGUAGAAGAGGGGCAAAAGUGAGGAAAACUGUUACAGACUGGGGUAAUUUAGAGCACUAAGUAAUGUAUUAUCCUCAUUUUACGGAGAGGCAAACAGGUGUGAGCCAAGGAGGAAAUUCCAGAUUAAGACAGUAAUGAGGGAAGCACCAUUCACAUAAUGUAGAGAUUCUUUGUAUCUUAGUAUUUAAAAGGUCUUUUGAGCAUCUCGAGCUUUGAAUACUACAUAAAAUCUCUUCUCCAACAUACCCAGAAUACUGAGAUAUACAAUUACCUUAGGGCCAUUUGCUGUAAUGAACUGCCACUGGGGAGAGACAUCAUAAGAUCAGAGAUAGUUUGAAGUAAGCGGUGAAAUGUGUGUGGUAAAGGAUGAGCGGCUUCACCCGCAAUCACUAUAUCUGAGAGUGGAUGUUCGCAUACUCUUGUGUCUUUCUCCUAAGACAGAAAUUGAAAGCAGGUUGAUCAGUCUGUAUGCUGGAAGGAACUUUCCCCACAAAAAAAUACGUAUACUUAAAAGUGUUAUGUAUACUUUAAAGACAGUCAUGUAACAGAAAUGUAAACAAUAAAACCAAAAUCAAAGCAUACCCAAAACACAUAUUCAGAUUAACUAAUUAUGUUUGUAUUAUCUUUUAGGGAAAAAGUGAUGCAGUCACUCAUAAAUAAAAUCACCAAACGAAUACUGUAUCUGUAUCAAUUUUAGUGUGCUCACAGUCUCCUAGCAGGGUAACUCUAAACGUGUAUGCAGGAACUAAGUCUCACCCAAACUGCUGACCCACAGAAUUGUCAGCCAAUAGGAAACUGUUUUCAUCCAUUGAGUUUUAGGGUGGUCUGUUAUGCAGGAAUAUUUAGUUGUGAAAGGUGUGAAACAAUCUCACACUGUAAUUGUGGAUGUUUUUUUCCCUCUUUUUCCUUGCAGUUCUGUCAAUUCUUACUUAGUAUUUUUAAGGCUAUAUGAUUAGAUACAUACAUGUUUAGAAAAUGGUUUUUGUAGAAACCAUUUUCAUCCCUAUUAAUAAUUUCGUCUUAAGAGCUAUAACCACUUUCAUGUCCCUACAGAGUAUCACUUUCACUCUCUGCCAACUUACAGCAAUGUUGUAGACAGAUAUUCUCUAUAAUAAUGUUGCCCUGUUUACCUGUCUUAUACAGUACUAUAACAGUAUACAUCUUUCAGCUCAUUGCUUCAUGACAAUAGUAUUUAGGGAGGAAUCAGUCACUAAGUAUAGUGACUACGUUGCUCGAUAGCACUGAAAUUUUAUUCUUGCCUUUUAGCUUAUAUAAUCUGUGUGUGAACUCAUGCAUAUUAUUAUAGGAUUUGAAGGUGGUCCUACUCUUCUAUAAAAAUAUAGACAAAUUUGAAAAACCCAAAAAUCUCACUUACUUGUUCUGCAUUUUCUUUGUUUGUUUUAUUUUCCUCAUCCUCUUCUUCCUCUGGUUCCACUGGAGCAGGAGUCAAUGAUGCCACAAAAUGCCACAGAAUAUCAUGUAGAGAAGUCGUCUGGAUGACAUUACACAGAAGCCAGUUGAAAGCCUGAAUAAAUGAAGGUUAAAUGAGUCAAAGAUAAAAAAAAAAGGUGGGACUAAAAACUGCAGAACCCUCCUUACUCAGAAACAAAGUAUCUCCACUAAGUGUUUCAAGGAAAGAUACU